UCCACCUAAACACAAGCAUAUUUCAUUUUUGUUAAGGUCUAAAACUGGAGUGAAGCCAAGUAUCACGUACCUUGGGGACAGGUGAAUCAGACAGUUGCAGUGAAAGUACAUGUGAACAGGAAAAGAUGAAUUUGACAUAUUAGCGUGUACAAUUAGGGCUUGACGUUUUACUAUCCAGGCAUGACCAAGCAGCCUAGCUAUUCCCAUAUAGGCAGCUGAAUCAGAGCUAACUGACAUUCAGGUCUGCAUCAAAAUGAAGUGAGAAGCAGGGGAAGGGCCCUUUUUUUCUACAAUCAUACAUUAAAAAAAGGAUUCUUUGAAUUACAUUUCUUUCCUAAAUUAAAUCUUAAACAGAUACAAACUAGAGUGAGAUGUCAUUCGUAAACACACUUAUUCUAUAAAGCUCAGUAUACUAAUUUGGAGGAAUAAUAACAGCUAAUGUUUACUGAGAGUUCGCUCUUGCUUAGUGCUGUUUGAGCAGCUUUGUUAUCAACUCAUUUAAUCCUCAUGACGAUUAUCACCCAUAUUUUACAGAGGAGGAAACUUAAUCAGAAACAGUAGGUAACACGCCCAGGAUUCUUGCCAGUGAAUGGCAGAGACCGACGCGCGGGCCAUCUUCCUCCAGCCCUGGGGCUCGCACCCACUGCUCUGCACUGUGUCGAGGAAAUUUUGUAUUUUUCUUGGACCUCGGUUUCACCAAGAAGUAGAAGAGAGAAACAAAAUAAAACGAAAGCCCUUGGCUGGAUGGCUGUGUCUCAGGUAGAAAGAAGUUAAAUGGCAAAACAGGUGUGCAAAGCACACAGGAUGGGGAAUGCAAAGUGUGGAGAGCGUGCAGCCCUGGGUAAGGCCGGGGGCCUGGCCAACAAAACCUCCAGGCUGAGCCAGAAUACUUUGUCCUAAGCUGGCUCUGCCUGCCUUUUUUUCUCAGAAAGAUACACAGCUUACACAGGCACAGGCAGGGGACAAUUCCAAGUUAGGUUCCUAGUUAAUCUCCCACACAUCUGGAUGUGUCGUGAAAGUUAGACAGUGCACAGGAAGGACAGCUGUGCUGCGGGGCAGAAGGGGCCCUUUCCUCCCUGUGGAGAGCAGUGAGUGGGGACUAGGCUGCAGCCCGAAGGUGGGAGUCCGGAGGCUGUAUCUUGUACAUCAGAGAAAUGUUUGGGAUGUUGUGGUAUCUGGCUGGCCCUGGUGCCUAUCGGUUGUGGUCUGUGCUUAUUUAUAUUACCUGGAAAGCUGGCAGACGCCUGCCCAGACACAAAGGUAUCAGCUUGUGCAAGACUGCUUGAUAGCCUGUGCAUCCAAAGUGACAAGUAGGGAAGUGGCCUGUGUGCAGAUGCAGGCUGCAGCUUGCUCUUGGUAGGAUCAGCCUAACCAGUCUGGAAGCGGGGCCCUUUUCACUGAGGCAGUGGAAACCCGGUUCCAGCCCACUGUCGGCCCUCUCGCCCUUCUGUGCUAGGUCCCUCCCCAUCUCUCACAAUUUCCAGACUAGGACUCUGACACCCUGGGCUUCUGCUUAUAUUAUUCCUUCUGACAACACCAUCCCCCCUCCCACGUUCCCUACAUGGCAAGUUCCUCCCUCCCCUGGCUAUCCUGUUCCAAGGAGGGAAAAUUAGAGGGCUUUUUUGUUUAGUCUGCAGAGUAGCUUUAAAAUCAGGAGACUUCAUGUACACAUUCGGCUUACUU